AUCCCAGCCAACACGCACACUACGAUAAAACCACAGAUAUGCUGUCAUGAAUUUAGAACUACCAAAUAUGGCGACAUCCCAAGAUAUUGGAGGAGAGCUAUAAAGAAAAGAUGGAGAGGAAGCCUCAGUCCAGUCCGGAAGCACUUCUUAUAGAGGCUCAUCCGGCUUGGGGGAGGAUGGCAAACCCGAUCGUUUGGCCCAGGGAUCUCUAGUUGGAACAUAGGAGGAAUCUGAAAUUGCUCAUGAAGCAACACCACAUCCCUCUCCAU
rnacentral:lncRNA from 1 species